GGAAUAAGGUGGGUAGGGGGGUCACACCGCGACGUCACACGGAGCCGCAGCCAUGAAGAUGCAGCGGCGGCCGAGCCGGGGAGCUGAGCACGAGACCUGCUGAGAGCGCUGCACGGGAGCCGAAUGUUCGAACUUAGACUGACGACCAGGAGCCCAGCAUAGAGGGCUGAAUCGGAGCCUGUCAGUUCCCUCUGUGGUUGGAAAAGAUGGUUGGCCGGAGGGGUUGGCUGUUAUCUUUGGUUAUCUAGCUGUAUGAGUGAUGUACAUUCUUCAUAAAGCUAGAUAACCGAAAGUAACAAGAAUCCCAUUACACACCUGAAAGGCACUGCCCACUCAGCACUCCAUGCCUUGCCCCUUGCUCUCUUCAUCUUCAUACAGAAGACAAGUCACUAAAUGGCCUAUAGAAGGAAAAGAAGAAAAAAGAUUACCUCCCUCAGUCUGUCUCUGAAAGAUGCCAGGGAAAGGGAAGGAAAACGUGGAGGAUGCUCUAAGGAGGAGGGGUGUGUUGAUGUGAAAGCUGCCUGCUCACCCUCCAUGCGCCCCAACCAUGCGUCUGCGCUCUCCACCCCUCCUCUCGCUGCCUGCCCCUUUCCUCCUAUCACGAGCGGCAGCCCAUGCCUCGCCACCAUCUUAGAGCACGCUGGCAUGAAAUGGAAGAGGGAGGAGAAAGGAGCAGGUGUUGGAGGAAUUAAACAGAGGAUUGAUCAAAUGAAUGAUAUGCAAACAUGGACGACAAAUUAGCAUCUGCUGAUGAAGCACUUCGGCUUGACACAGAUCUCUGCACCCUUUUACUCUGUGCCCCAACGUUUUAUCAUUGUAGCACUUUACAAGGGCAUUUUUCUGUUCAUCUGUUAAGUUAGUGUUUAUUUAACGUUUUAUUUUCCUUUCUUUUUUAUAUUUUUUAAUCUUUACAAUCAAACAUAAUAAUGGGGGUGGGUGUUAUGGUAAACAUAUUAUAACCCUGAUAUUUGAAGACAUUUUCACAAUACACAUGCAGACAGACUACACCAGUAGUGUAGCAGAUUCUUAAAAACAUGGUACAAAUGUUUGUACAGUUACAGCAUGUUUAUACUUACAGUAAAAAUUCAUUUUUUUUAUUUAAAAUGGGCUGCACUUUAGCCAGUUAAAGAGGGCUAAUUACACAUUAAAUUUCACAAUGAAAUGUGCAGUUGGUCAGUGUUCAUGAAGCCGUAAUGAUAUCAAUAAUACGAUUAGAAAAGUCUACUUUAUAUCUCAAUAAAAAUAAUUGAUUAUAUCUUAAUAAAACAUUAUCAUAUUGCCUACCUCUAUUCUAAAUCACAGACCAUAAAAUAAAAGGAAAAAAAAUAAGAAGGAAAAAUCUCUUAAUCAUUUUUUUUAUAUAGGAAUUUAGUUUAUAAAAAUUACUUUACUGAUCUGGGUUGAAAAUAAAAUCAUGUAUUGCACUAAGCAUAGGCAACUUUAAGUAUUAUUAUUAUCAUCAGUACUGGUAGUAUCGUACAGUAGAUUGACUGAGAAGGUGCACAAAUAUAGAACUUUCCAGGAAUCUAUUGUCAAUUCAUCUCACACCAUUUUAGAAAUGGGUUACCUAUAGAGGUCAAACAUUCAAGUGUGUAUUAGAGAAAAAAAGUAUCUUUUAAAAUGUAUUUAACCCAGGUCAAGACAAUCAGCUAGCCUAAUCUGCCCGUACUCUUAUGGGCAAAUUCAAUCUCUAGCAUAGAGCACUUUACACAUUCAUAUAAUCAUUUUCUCUUCUUUCUAUUCUCCUUUGUUACAUUUGAUGUUAUAAGUAAAGCACUAGUGCCUCCACAAUGAUAUACGGUAAAUGUUAUCAUUAAAUGUAAAAUAUUUUCACUAUCAGACAAUAACCUUGUACCUCCAUUUUUGCCGUUUUUCACAUUUUGACAUGGACAAAUAGAAAUGCUCCUAAAUAUUUUAGAAUAGAAUCUCUUACACUUUAACUUCCAUUAGAAGUUAAGAAGGAUUUUUUUUCAUCCUGCAAAUUUGCAAUUUUGGAGAUACAAGCUUUUUGUCAGACAGCGAUAGUAUAAAACAUCCUUGUAUCCCUCUGUUAUAGCUGUUCCCACAAAACACAGUCUAUUCUACUGAUGGUUUAGAGCUCAUAAACUGAGUGUAUGAAUGUGAGACCCACGGCCGGCAGCAGUGAAGGGUACUGCACUGUGAUUGAACAGCUCUGUGUGUUGACAGAUACACACCUGGAGUAGAGAGAGCUGUUGUCUUUAUUCUCUAUGCAAUUGCGUUGGACUUGCAAUCAACUAGCAGCAGUUCUGAACUAGGAUCUGUUCUGAAAAGCUAGAAUCUCCUCUAUUUCAAUUACAAAAGCAAGUUAAAAAUAAUGCAGCAUUAAUAGCUGUCUGAAUUGUCAUUACAAGGUUAAAAUGCAGUUUUACCUUCUGAGUGUUUUUAUUGUUAUUUUUUUUCUAUUUAGCUAAGUUGCAUUUAUUUAGAAAAAGGAAGUAAUCCCACAUUUUUAUAUUUUAAUAGGUUUAUAAGCUCUUGUAGAUAGUAAGGUCCUCACCAUUACAUGUUAAUUUAGAUUUUCUGUUGAGACUAAUGUCUGUGUAUUAAUUCCAUUCUUUUUUAUUUUUCUAAAUGUCAUAUAAGCACUGUUAAGUAGUAUUUUCCUUACUUACAUUUAUAAUCAUGCUUGGGCAGAGGCAAAUAUAUAUAUAUACUUAUUUUUUUAUUUUGUAUUGUCUAUGCAAAUUAUAUUUUGAUGAGAAUUGUGCAAUUUGUUUUUGAGACCCAGUUUUGAAGGCAAUCGGGCAAUCAUAGACCCUGUAUAUUUUAUUAAAAUAAAUGAAGAUCAUUGACUAUGCAAUUUAUGUAAAUUUAGGAGUAACAUUUGGACUAUUUGCACUACUUUUAGUAAUAGGUGUAAAUGUGUGUGAAUGAUUUGUAAUCCUUUUGAUGGUGUGAAUGUUUUUGAAUGUGUGCGUAAUCUAAAAUGAUGUAACAUUUCUUUUCAUUAAGACUAAUGUGAUUAACCUGCUCCUAUAGGCUGCCAUAUGUGCCUUACACUGUUUAGUCCUGUUAUGGAUACUAAUAAAAGUUUACAUUGAAAACAAAUGACAAAAA